GAUGAAGAACGCAGUGAAAUGCGAAAAGUAGUGUGAAUUGCAGAAUUCAGUGAAUCAUCGAAUCUUUGAACGCACAUUGCGCCCCCUGGUAUUCCGGGGGGCAUGCCUGUCCGAGCGUCAUUGCUGCCCUCAAGCACGGCUUGUGUGUUGGGCCUCCGUCCUCCUCCCGGGGGACGGGCCCGAAAGGCAGCGGCGGCACCGCGUCCGGUCCUCGAGCGUAUGGGGCUUCGUCACCCGCUCUUGUAGGCCCGGCCGGCGCUUGCCGACACAUCAAUCUUUUUUCCAGGUUGACCUCGGAUCAGGUAGGGAUACCCGCUGAACUUAAGCAUAUCAAUAAGCGGAGGA
rnacentral:misc_RNA from 1 species